rnacentral:rRNA from 1 species
GACGAACGCUGGCGGCGUGCUUAACACAUGCAAGUCGAACGGAAAGGCCCUGCUUUUGUGGGGUGCUCGAGUGGCGAAAGGGUGAGUAACACGUGAGUAACCUGCCCUUGACUUUGGGGUAACUUCAGGAAACUGGGGCUAAUACCGGAUAGGAGCUCCUGCUGCAUGGUGGGGGUUGGAAAGUUUCGGCGGUUGGGGAUGGACUCGCGGCUUAUCAGCUUGUUGGUGGGGUAGUGGCUUACCAAGGCUUUGACGGGUAGCCGGCCUGAGAGGGUGACCGGCCACAUUGGGACUGAGAUACGGCCCAGACUCCUACGGGAGGCAGCAGUGGGGAAUAUUGCACAAUGGGCGGAAGCCUGAUGCAGCAACGCCGCGUGCGGGAUGCCGUCCUUCGGGUUGUAAACCGCUUUCGCCUGUGACGAAGCGUGAGUGACGGUAAUGUGUAAAGAAGAACCGGCUAACUACG